rnacentral:rRNA from 1 species
AACGAACGCUGGCGGCAUGCCUAACACAUGCAAGUCGAACGAGACCUUCGGGUCUAGUGGCGCACGGGUGCGUAACGCGUGGGAACCUGCCCUUAGGUUCGGAAUAACUCCCCGAAAGGGGUGCUAAUACCGGAUAAUGUCUUCGGACCAAAGAUUUAUCGCCUUUGGAUGGGCCCGCGUUGGAUUAGCUAGUUGGUAGGGUAAAAGCCUACCAAGGCGACGAUCCAUAGCUGGUCUGAGAGGAUGAGCAGCCACACUGGGACUGAGACACGGCCCAGACUCCUACGGGAGGCAGCAGUGGGGAAUAUUGGACAAUGGGCGAAAGCCUGAUCCAGCAAUGCCGCGUGAGUGAUGAAGGCCGUAGGGUUGUAAAGCUCUUUUACCCGGGAUGAUAAUGACAGUACCGGGAGAAUAAGCUCCGGCUAACUCCGUG